rnacentral:rRNA from 1 species
UACGUAGGGCGCAAGCGUUAUCCGGAAUUACUGGGCGUAAAGUGUGCGCAGGCGGCCAUGCAAGUCGAGUGUGAAAGCCCCGGGCUUAACUUGGGAAUUGCGCUCGAAACUACGUGGCUGGAGUGUGGCAGAGGAAGGUGGAAUUCCACGUGUAGCGGUGAAAUGCGUAGAGAUGUGGAGGAACACCAAUGGCGAAGGCAGCCUUCUGGGCCAACACUGACGCUCAUGCACGAAAGCGUGGGGAGCAAACAGG